CUACGGGGCGCAGCAGUGGGGAAUAUUGGACAAUGGGGGAAACCCUGAUCCAGCAAUGCCGCGUGUGUGAAGAAGGCCUGCGGGUUGUAAAGCACUUUCGGUUGGGAGGACUGCUUCUAGCACUAAUAUUGUUGGAAGUUGACGUUACCUUCAGAAGAAGCACCGGCUAACUCCGUGCCAGCAGCCGCGAGUAAUACGGAGGGUGCAAGCGUUAAUCGGAAUUACUGGGCGUAAAGCGCGCGUAGGCGGCUAGAUCAGUCGGGUGUGAAAGCCCCGGGCUUAACCUGGGAACUGCAUCCGAUACUGUCUAGCUUGAGUACAGGAGAGGAGAGUGGAAUUCCACAUGUAGCGGUGAAAUGCGUAGAUAUGUGGAGGAACACCAAUGGCGAAGGCAGCUCUCUGGCCUGAUACUGACGCUGAGGUGCGAAAGCGUGGGGAGCAAACAGGAUUAGAUACCCGAGUAGUC
rnacentral:rRNA from 1 species